UGUUGUGUUGCUACCAUGUUGUUGUCAUGCUGUGUUGCUACCAUGUUGUUGUCAUGUUGUGUUGCCACCAUGUUGUUGUCAUGCUGUGUUGCUACCAUGUUGUGUUGUCAUGUUGUGUUGCUACCAUGUUGUUGUUAUGUUGUGUUGCUACCAUGUUGUUGUUAUGUUGUGUUGCUACCAUGUUGUUGUCAUGCUGUGUUGCUACCAUGUUGUGUUGUCAUGUUGUGUUGCUACCAUGUUGUUGUCAUGCUGUGUUGCUACCAUGCUGUGUUGUCAUGUUGUGUUGCUACCAUGUUGUUGUUAUGUUGUGUUGCCACCAUGUUGUUGUCAUGUUGUGUUGUUACCAUGUUGUUGUCAUGCUGUGUUGCUACCAUGUUGUUGUCAUGUUGUGUUGGUAAAAUUAUGAUGAAAUGACUGAACAAAUCAUUUUAAAUGGAACUGUGUGCACCGGAGCCUCCCACUCCUCUUUCUAUUCCGGUUAGAGCCAGUUUUCUCUGUUCUGUGAAGGGAGUAGUACACAGCGUUACAGGGAGACAGGAUGGACAGCUGAUCGUCCUUGCAGUGGCAGACCACGUGUAACAACACCUGCACAGGAUCGGUACAUCCGAACAUCACACCUGCGGGACAAGUACAGGAUGGCAACAACAACAGGCCGAGUUACACCAGGAACGCACAAUCCCUCCAUCGGCGCUCACAGACAGCAAUAGGCUGAGAGAGGCUGGACUGAGGGCUUAUAGGCCUGUUGUAAGGCAGGUCCUCACCAGACAUCAGCGGCAACAAUGUCGCCUAUGGGCACAAACCCAACGUCGCUGGACCAGACAGGACUUGCAAAAAGUGCUCUUCACUUACUAGUCAUGGUUUUGUCUCACCAGGGGUGAUGGUCGGAUUCGCGUUUAUCAUCGAAGGAAUGAGCAUUACACCGAGGCCUGUACUCUGGAUCGAUUUGGAGGUGGAGGGUAGACCCCCCGUGCCUCUCUGAUUCAGAGGGGUUGGAUUAAAUGCGGAAGACUCAUUUCAGUUGUACAACUGACUAGGUAUCCCCCUUUCCCUUUCCUGUAUCGAUGAAAGGUACACAUUCUUACAUAACCAGAACACUUCUUCUGUGGUAUUCUGUAAAAGGUUGUUUAUUUUACACAUUGUUAUAUUAGCAGAACACUUCUUCUGUGGUAUUCUGUAAAAGGUUGUUUAUUUUACACAUUGUUAUAUUAGCAGAACACUUCUUCUGUGGUAUUCUGUAAAAGGUUGUUUAUUUUACACAUCAUUACAUAACCAGAACACUU